rnacentral:sRNA from 1 species
AAGACAGCAGCUGAGACGGCAGCUUCUCAGGGCCAGAGCCAGUUCUUGGAGGAGACUCUGCACAGGGCAUGGAUCACUGUGGUGCCCUUUUCCUGUGCCUGUGCCUUCUCACUUUGCAGAAUGCAACAGCAGAGACAUGGAAAGAACUCCUGAGCUACAUGGAGAAUAUGCAGGUGUCCAGGGGUCGGAGCUCGUUUUUUUCCUCUCGGUGAGUUGGACGUGUCCCUCUCCUGUUUAGAGUUAGCUAUGCCUCCCACCCCAAGCCUGCACCUUGAAUCAGUGGGUCAGGGUUAGUCUAAUGUAGACUCUUAACUGUGCAUUUUUUCAGCACUUUUAUUGAGCACCUACUGCAUGCCUGACACUAGGCUCUGGGGAUG